rnacentral:tRNA from 2 species
GGCGGCAUAGCCAAGUGGUAAGGCAGGGGACUGCAAAUCCUCGAACCCCAGUUCAAAUCCGGGUGUCGCCU